rnacentral:rRNA from 1 species
GGAUUAGAUACCCUGGUAGUCCAUGCUGUAAACGAUGAGAACUUGCUGUUGGGGGUAUAAAAACUCUUAGUAGCGUAGCUAACGCGUUAAGUUCUCCGCCUGGGGAGUACGGCCGCAAGGCUAAAACUCAAAGGAAUUGACGGGGGCCCGCACAAGCGGUGGAGCAUGUGGUUUAAUUCGAUGCAACGCGAAGAACCUUACCUACCCUUGAAUCCACGGAAGCUUACAGAGAUGUGAGUGUGCCUUCGGGAACCGUGAGACAGGUGCUGCAUGGCUGUCGUCAGCUCGUGCCG